rnacentral:rRNA from 1 species
UACGAAGGGGGCUAGCGUUGUUCGGAGUUACUGGGCGUAAAGGGCGCGUAGGCGGCGCAUCAAGUCAGGCGUGAAAGCCCUGGGCUCAACCCGGGAAUUGCGCUUGAGACUGGUGUGCUUGAGUACGGGAGAGGAUAGUGGAAUUCCCAGUGAUUAGAGGUGAAAGUUCGUAAGAUAUUGGGAAGAACACCAGUGGCGAAGGCGGCUAUCUGGACCGUAACUGACGGCUGAGGCGCGAAAGCGUGGGGAGCAAACAGG